CUCGGCGGUGCCUGAGAGAGUGGUGGCUCCGGACCUCGGCGGACCUUGACCUCCCUGGUGACACACACACGUGGGAACCGCCGCUGGAACCUGGCUGUGAGCCUCAUGAGGGCAGGGAUUUUGCCUGACUUGUUCAUGGCUGUAUUCCCAGCACCCAGAGCAGUGGGCCCUCAAGACUUGGAAUGAAUGAAGAAACGAAGUAUGGUUUGGAUAGAAUGCCGCUGGUCUGUGUUUGUCUCUUAGUCCAUGAGUAAAACCACGGAGAACCUUAUUAGACAAAGAGGCAGAGAGUAAGAGAGAAACAAUGCGGGACUGAGAAGGGUCCAGGGCCCAAAGGAUGGGGCCAAGCCAUCCCAGUCCACACGGAGGAUGAGCCAAGUUCCAAGGAGCGCCUGAUUUUGCCAGGGAGACACGUAACCUACAGGGCAGCCCCUCCUCCACCGUUUGAUUUACUGACGCUGUGAAGUGGUGACUUACGGCUCAGGGGCAACAGGGCACGUGCAGGCACACCUGGAAAUGGUGCUGAUGGUGCUACACAAACGAUCAGAGCGGAAGGAGAGACCAAGACAGACGAGGAGGCAGAGCUUUGACAGCAACCCCUGAGCCCCAUCUUGUGACGGCUGCCGUCCCUGGAGGCCGUCACCGUCACUGAGGACUCUGGCCAGGGUCUCUGCCUCUCUCCCUUUGUUCUGGCAAUCGAAUACUACAGGGCAAGAGAACCACAACCAACGAUGGGCCCCCCAAUGAGCAGACUCCCGUUAGGGCCUCCAUUCUGGUCAUCCAUUGCUGCAUAAGGGGGGUCCCUCCCCUCCAUGCUUGGUGGUUUCAAGUGACAGUGUGUUACUCUAUCACCCGACUCUGUGUGGGUUGACUCAGCUCAGCCAGGGGGGUUUUCUCACUUGCGAUCUCUUGUGUGUUUGCAGUCAGGUUGCUGCUGGGGCGGGAGUCCCGGUCUAGAAGCCCAGGACGGCUUUCUCUCUCACGGCUGUGGGGUGGUGCUGGCUGUCAGCCAACGCCGUCAGCUGGAGCCCCUCCGUGCAGCAGGGAGCAGAAGAUGCAGGUGAGACACUGAAAUAGUUCACACAUCAAAAAGGAAUACGAGGGUCCAUAGAGCAGAGUCUCCCUGCCUGGUAUCCAGCCACCGCUUUCCGUCCCAGGAGGCAACCUCUCUUUCCAGGUCCCGUGUCCUGCCAGAAAUACCCUCUGCAUUUAUAAGCAAACAUGGCCUAACACUUGCUGCGUGCUGAAGAAUCCGUUGGAAGGAAGACCGCAGACCCUCACAAUGGGAAGCAGCCAAGCAGAGACCCUGGGCUGAAGGGGGCGUUUUGCAGCAGUGAGACUUCAGCUCCUCAUUGGUUCCAGCAUCUGUCAACCUCCAGCCCCCCAGCCCUUCUUAUCCUCUGCAUGAUGACCCCCAUCCCCUGGGGAUGCCUGUACCCUUCCCACUCUUGCUAUCCUCCACCAAAUGCCUGGCUGCCAAGGGACACUGAGCGUCUUUGAUCAGUGUCCUAUGCUCUGGACUUCACUACUUUUUCAAAAUGUACCAGUCUUGGGUCAAUGGAAUGGAUUCCAUUUACAUCAAAGCCUCUGAAGACACUAGGCAGGCUGCUGUUGGGGAGGAGCAGGAAUUGUAGUCUAUCCACCCUACAGUGCACUGGAAGAGCUCUUGGGGAAUUAGCCUCUUCACAUUGAGAAAAUUCUGUCCAACAGGGGAAUUUCACAGCUCUGUGGACACCCAAAUAGGAGAGAUUUAGGGGUAUGUGUAGCUAAUGAUAAUAAUAGAUACGAUUUAUUGCACCCCUAUCUUGUUCCAGGCACUAGGCUAGGUGCCUUACAUCCUUUGCCUAAUUCCUACAACCCUGCAAAGCAAGUGUAAUUAUCAUGAUAAUAAAAGCAACAACAUUC